AUACGGAAGGUGCAAGCGUUAGUCGGAAUUACUGGGCGUAAAGGGUGCGUAGGCGGUGAUAUAAGUCGGAUGUGAAAUUCCAAGGCUCAACCUUGGAGCUGCAUCCGAGACUGUACCACUAGAGGAAUGGCGGAGAGAAUGGAAUUCCAUAUGUAGCGGUGAAAUGCGUAGAUAUAUGGAAGAACACCCGUGGCGAAAGCGGUUCUCUAGCCUUCUCCUGACGCUGAGGCACGAAAGCAAGGGGAGC
rnacentral:rRNA from 1 species